AAAAAUCAUUUUCCUACCUUAGCCAGCAUUUCCCACCCUCAAAAGCCAAAAAUUUUCACCAUUUGAACGAGUUUCAAAUUUGCAAAGGGCGGGUGAAUAGUGCCUUGUGCGAAAAAUUCGCACAACACCUUGUGUUGUGCGAGUGUUGUGCCAAAUUCGCACAACACCCCCCCUUGUGCGAAUUUUUUAGUUUCUCCAUCCCUACUCUCCC
rnacentral:lncRNA from 1 species